rnacentral:lncRNA from 1 species
AACAAUUUCCAAGCUUAAAAUAUACAUUAAUACUUAAAUCCAACUCCAAGGCUCAUACAUGCCCAAAUAUGUCAAAAUUUUCAAAAAUCCAAAUACAUCCAACCCUAGUCAAGCACUAGCGUGAGUACAAUCGCAAAAAUUCAAAAACUAGACUUUGCUAGCCUGUACCCGUCCCCACGCCCUUGCUUGUAUCCCUUGUAAGGAAAACAAAUCUCAUAAAAUGAACUAAAGCUCAGUGAGGCUCCAAAACUUCAUGUAGACCCAAAUAGCAAGUUGACCAUGAUUUAAAAUCACAUGUAUCAAAAUAGCGAGCACAUGAAGUCAAGAAAAUGAGUAAUAAAGUUUUGUAAGGCCAAGCACUAGUUAUUUAACAUGUCAAAUGAAAGGAUGUCGCCGCUAUUUCAAAAUAGCUCCAUCAUAGCUUGAUCAAGUAGUAGUUGACUCUCCGUCAACUUUCAAGUAGAGUAACUAGUCCAGUAGAGCCCCGCUUGACACCAAUCCGUCCACCAUUCAACCCCCUUACCAGGCCUGAACACCACGAGAAACACGCAUGGUAAUACUCGAGUAUACCGAUUAGUCGAGGAGGUAUCACUCCACUUAACAAAACAAGAGACCCAGGGUUCGUUAUCUAAUCAACCAAGUCCUUACCGGCUCGACUCGAAUAACUUGUCACAGGGUUUCUGGAAUUCCAGAGAGUGCUCACGCAUAGACAAAUACAUCAGACAAGAAUAUCAAGUCAAGUGCCAUCAAGGCAUAACAACAAGUCACGUUUAGAACAAGUGCGAUAAAGUACACCCUUGUCCGUCCAAACAAGUCAAAUAUUAUCCAAGCACAUUAAUAAAACAUGUAAAAGCAAGUAUCAAAUACAAACAUGCACUUGGAAGCACUCACCAAAGGUCUAGUGAUUUUCAAGGUCACGCUUAGGUGCAACUCCUUGGAUGGAGUCCAAAUCUGUGGUAAAAUAUUAUGCAAGAGUUUAAAAUCAACUAGGGUUCGAAACAUAAGAGUUUCGCUUCAAGAAAAUCAAGUAAAUGCAAUUCGUUUAAGUAGUAUUCAAGUUACUUAUUAAACUCUAGAAAAUUCAUGCUCGCUCGUUUAGUUUUGAUCAAGAAGUGAUUUAGACUUUGGAAGUCGCACUUAGUAUCAAAGACCGAAAAAAUUGUAUUUUGAAAGGGCCGCAACUUUCACUUUUCAAGGGUAUGAGUUCCGGCAAAAUUUCAGCUUAUAUACCUUGACUAAAGGUAAUUCGACUACCACAGACGAUCCAAGUCCAAUUCGACCUCAAAUCUCCGCUCAAGUAGCGAGUACAUAAGCCUAACUCUCGAGUGAAAAUUUGGGCAGCAUGCCCUUUGUAUUUAGCUAUUUUCCAGCCAUAUAUGGCUUCAUUUUUUCCUUCAAAUCAGCCCAAUUCAACAUAUUCGCAAGCUUAACAAAAUACCUCUUCAACUAGGCUCAAUACCAUCCAAAUACAAGUCAAUUCUAGCAAUACAACCGUCAAAAUCAAAGCUGAAAACCAAUUUUAAAGAAGAAUGUCUAAGUGGCAGAUUUGUCCUCCUUCGGUGUUUUGGUCAUAACUACAGCUAGGUAUAUCAAAUCGAGGAAAAUUUUAUGACGUUUCGAAACUACAAUAUAUACACACAGUGAUGGAUCUUCCCAAAAUAACUUUCCACUUCCAUCCAAUCACUUUUCAAUCUCCAACUCCUGUAAGGAAAACAAAGCUAAAAGGGCUGAGCUAAACCUCAGUGAGGUUUGCCGAGCAAGUAACAUUUAAUAAACACUUAAAUUAGUACAAUUAAGCAAGUAGUGCACAUUUCACUUCCCCAAAGGCUCUAUGUUUCUUUCUAAAUCAAAGUAAUCAUAAUACAUGGAGCAAAACAGGGUACUAUAGGAUACGUUUAACCAAUAUCUGCAUAAACUUCAAUUCACGAAACAGAAGUUAGGCUAGAGAGAAUACAAUCAGUCAUUCGGGUUUCAAAACAAGAUUCCAGCCAUGUAUCUUCCGAGAUUUUCAUUCAAUCUACCAAUUUAACAUAGACUACAUUUCCAAUGAAGACAUAGACACUUAGUUCUAGCAUUUUCAGGGUCAAAAAGUGAAAUCUCAGAGAAAAAAGAAAGCUGUCGGUUAAAUAGGGCAUUUGGGCAGUCAGGGGUAUCUUAGUCAUUCCACAAGCUACAGUGCUUUAAUUGAGGUGAAAUUUUCUGGGUGGAAAGAUAACUCAACUACCUACAACUUUCAUGUUUUGAGUAAAAACUGAUUAAAUCUAAAACAUGGAGAAAUUCGCAGCCCAAGUUGCUACUUCAUCCAGUAAAAGACAGAACAGGUAUGCAAUUUCAGUUAAAUUUGAAAAAUCAUAGAUAUUCAUAGGAGUUGAGAAAAAGGCUGAAAUUUUCACGGUUGAUAGUAGUCUGACUCUAGUUUCAAACAAAGCAAACAGAACUCAAUUCCAACUUUUCUACAACAAGAUAUAGCAGAUUUUCUAAGACUGCUCAAGGGUUCCUGCAGAAAAUUUCAACAGCACUUCCCCUUGUUUUCUUUAUUUUUCCUUCCAAAAAUCAGCACCAAAUUUCCUCUCAAUUUAAACUCAAUCACAACCACAAGUCAUAGGUCAUCUAUACACUUAUUUAAGGCCACAAUACCAUCCUUUUUUUUUUUUUACGGAAACCACAAUACCAUCCAAAUAUAGCAAAUUCAUACUCAAAGCCAACCACAAGCAAGCUAAAAAGACAUCCCAAGGCUGCAAUUUAACAUAUCAAAGCUAGAAAAUUCAGGCCCUAAGCUAAAACUAUUAACAAAUGCUGAAAUUCCUUAAAGAAAGCCAAAAGUGCUUGUACAAGCUGGAAAUUCUCAUGGACAGCCCAAAAAUUCCCUAGCAAAGCUGGAAUUCAUCAUUCAAAGCUGGAAAUAACAAUCUACUAUACAAAACUACAAAAUCUUCCAUGAAAUCUACUACAAACAAGCACUAAUCUCAUUCAAGUGCAAGAUUAAAGAAAUAAAGUAGCUUCUUGCCAAAAGUACCUUCAAACCUCAAGAUGAGUAGCAAAUUGCAGCUUCCUUUUCCCCCAAAAACACUCCACACCAGCCACCUUCCUUCCUUGUAGCAACUCUCUAUGGAUUUGCUUAGGGUUUUAGGUUGACUUCCCACAAGUUGUAGCUAGGAAAUAAGAUGAAACUUGAAGUAGUUUUCCUCUCUUUCUCUUCUCUCUCUCUCUCGGCCAAGAGGUAAGAAAAUGGAGUGUUAUUUGUGUCCAACAAGAAAGACAAGUUU